GCGGGGGGUGCCGGCUCCGAGCGGGGCCGGGCGGCGGCGGCGGCGGCGCUGCGGUUGCGCCAUCUGUCAGAGCCCCGGUGGGAGGGAGGGAGCGCCCGAGCCUCGCUCGCCCGGGCGGAGCGGAGCGGAGGCGAGGCGGCAGCGGCAGCGCGGACAGCCCGUGCGAGCUCAUCCCUGCCCAGGCUGCGGCUGUGCCGCCUUACGGAGCCGCCGCCUCCGCGCCCGGCCGCGGCUUCCCGCAGCGCGUCCGCCCCGGGAGAGGCAGCGGCGCUCGGAGCGGCGCCCCUCGCUGCGGGCGGGCGGGGGCAGCCGGCGGAGGAACGGAGCGAGGAGGAUGCGAGUGCGGCGGCGCCGCCCCGGCCCCGCGCUGCGCUGAGCUGAGCCGAGCCAAGCCGAGCCGCCUCAGGGCAUAUUUUCAAGCCAUUUGUGAGGAAAUGUGGUGAAUGUAAACUUGCUCUCUUCGGGGGGGAAAUUGUGGUAAGUGGUGCUGUCUUGAUUAAUUUUGGUUUUCAACAAAAAUUUCAGAAAGGUUGUUUUAGCUUUCUUCAGUUUUAAUUUUUCUUUUAUUAUUUUUUUUUUAGCUCUGGAAAAUAAAGAGAGAUCGUUGAUUAUAUGUGUUCUUUCU
ensembl:lncRNA